rnacentral:rRNA from 1 species
ACGAACGCUGGCGGCGUGCUUAACACAUGCAAGUCGAACGGAAAGGCCCUGCUUGCAGGGUACUCGAGUGGCGAACGGGUGAGUAACACGUGGGUGAUCUGCCCUGCACUUCGGGAUAAGCCUGGGAAACUGGGUCUAAUACCGGAUAGGAGCCAUUCUUAGUGUGAUGGUUGGAAAGUUUUUUCGGUGUAGGAUGAGCUCGCGGCCUAUCAGCUUGUUGGUGGGGUAAUGGCCUACCAAGGCGGCGACGGGUAGCCGGCCUGAGAGGGUGGACGGCCACAUUGGGACUGAGAUACGGCCCAGACUCCUACGGGAGGCAGCAGUGGGGAAUAUUGCACAAUGGGCGCAAGCCUGAUGCAGCGACGCCGCGUGGGGGAUGACGGCCUUCGGGUUGGAAACUCCUUUCGCUAGGGACGAAGCUUUUUGUGACGGUACCUAGAUAAGAAGCACCGGCUAACUACGUG